CACAUCUGCUUAGCACAGCAAGUCCUGUCAUAUAACUGUCUCCCGCACUGUCUGUCCAUAAAGAAUGUCUCGGAAUUGGUGUAAUUCAGAGAAAUUAAUGACGACUUUCCGCGGGACGGCUCCCUGGGGGAUGAUUAACACUUCAUCGUCCAUCUGAUGCGCGGGGCCCAGCACUCCAUCGCGAACAUUUGGGCCGUGGCCAGCCGCAUUAAAGGUGUAGACCCGGGCAGGGCGAAGCUCUCUGGGCUGUUGACUGUGAGGCCCCUCCCCACCGGUAGAUUUCCAAGCCUCUUCAGUUUUGCAUUCAGCCACAGCAGGUAAACUCCUCCAGGGCAGGACCUGACUCUUCAGAGGAAUUUUUUAAUCCCCCUCCCCAGAAGUGCCCACGUCAAGGCCAUAGUAGAGAAGGAGCUCAAGAGCAAUCCCUAAGCAACCACGCUUGGAAGCAUCCUGCAACAGAGGGAUUUGUUCCAGACUCAGAUUUAAUCCACUAUUACCUUUUCGUAAGACAAGUGUUGUCUGAAGGAGUCUGUGUGUAAUUUUGAGACAAAAGGAUUGCAGAACUCAGCUCCCAGGUUGUCUCAUAUCUGAUUCUUCGAAAGAGGAAAAGAAGCGAACUCUUCUGCACAAUAGCUGAGCAGAUAGGAGAGAAAAAGCUUGAAGAUUCACAGUGGAGCAAGGCUAAUUGGAGCCUUCCUCAGAGCAGCUCAACUAUCCCAGUUUUACCUAUCCCAUUCCUUGCCAUUCCCACUUGUAAUUCUGUCUUGGCAAGAACACCAUACUGAAGGUUCUUAAAGCAGUUUGUAGACUUUAAUUAGUUCUGUGGAAAGUCAGUCAAAGCUCAGCCUUCAUUCUGCCAACAGAGACAACAGUGGUGGGUGUGGAAGGAAGGCAAGAAGAAGAUGGACACCCAGAGCAGUUGUGCAACUUACUGAAGGCCAUGUGGAUAGGAGGAACUGGGUUUAAAACCCCUGAGUCUUGAUAAAAGUGUCUUAGCCUUCUAGAUUCCUAAACAGGUAGUGGGCUCAUCCUACUAACCUACUUUGCUAGGGUGUUGUUGAUGAAUGCUUAUAAACCCUGUCCUAGAUGAUAGGUUUGGAAGAUUGUUAAAGAAAGCAUGUCAUUAAGUCCCUACUCACCCCCUCCUUGACAAAUAGCCCUGGAGGGAAAUGAAUAUUAGCCAGAAUCGUAGGGCCUCCACUUCAAUGGAAUGAACUGAGAUUCAACAACAAGAGAAAUGUUCCAACAGUGAGGGAAAUCAACAAUGUGCUGGGGGUGAAGGGUAGGGGUUGGGAAGGCCUAAACAGGUGACCAUUGCCAGACAGCCCAGACAAGAUCAUCACAGAAUAGCUGAUUCCCAUUAGACACUGUGGGUGAUCAUUAUCUUAAAAUUCAGGACACUAUUUUUGUAGUAGUUUCCCUUCCUCUCUUUGUAAGAGCAGAAGACCUCUCUGGGGCCUAUCACAAGACAAGCGGGUGUUUGCAAAUGAGGGACGUACUUUGAGACUGAAUUGCUCUGUGCUUCUCUAAAAGACAUGGUUAAGAGUUUGGGCGCUGAUGUUAGAGACUGAGAUUAAAAUCCUUCCUUGCCACUUCCAUCAGUAUAAAUUUGGAUAAGUUUCUUAACUUCUCUAAGCCUUGAUUUUCUCACCUAUAAAAUGGGCCUAAUAAUAGUGCCUAACUUAGAGGUUUGUUGUAAAGGUUAAAUGCAAUUAUUCAGGUAAAGCCUUAAUGGAGCCUGAUAUGUAGUAAGCACUCAAUCCAUUUUAUCUACUGACUCUUUUCUCUGUGUGGGUUACCCACUUUGGAGAUUGUCCCCAGUAAUUUCUUUGGUCAAGUCUUGAUCUCCCUGGCCCCUUGGCUGUCUUCUCCCACCAUGAUCAGUGAGAAGUUGAGGAGCACUAAUACCAAAUUCUUUUUCAUGUUAGUUAGGAGAAAGCAGAAUUACGAAGGUCAACCUGCUGGUGUAAAAAAAUAUUACAUAGAUUAGCCCUGCUCUACAUAUUAGAUAUGUUC
ensembl:lncRNA novel transcript